GAUGAACGCUGGCGGCGUGCCUAAUACAUGCAAGUCGAGCGAACGGACGAGAAGCUUGCUUUUCUGAUGUUAGCGGCGGACGGGUGAGUAACACGUGGAUAACCUACCUAUAAGACUGGGAUAACUUCGGGAAACCGGAGCUAAUACCGGAUAAUAUUUUGAACCGCAUGGUUCAAAAGUGAAAGACGGUCUUGCUGUCACUUAUAGAUGGAUCCGCGCUGCAUUAGCUAGUUGGUAAGGUAACGGCUUACCAAGGCAACGAUGCAUAGCCGACCUGAGAGGGUGAUCGGCCACACUGGAACUGAGACACGGUCCAGACUCCUACGGGAGGCAGCAGUAGGGAAUCUUCCGCAAUGGGCGAAAGCCUGACGGAGCAACGCCUCGAGAGUGAUGAAGGUCUUCGGAUCGUAAAACUCUGUUAUUAGGGAAGAACAUAUGUGUAAGUAACUGUGCACAUCUUGACGGUACCUAAUCAGAAAGCCACGGCUAACUACGUG
rnacentral:rRNA from 1 species